CCAGACUCCUACGGGAGGCAGCAGUGGGGAAUAUUGCACAAUGGGGGAAACCCUGAUGCAGCGACGCCGCGUGAGCGAGGAAGUAUUUCGGUAUGUAAAGCUCUGUCAGCAGGGAAGAAGAAUGACGGUACCUGAAGAAGAAGCACCGGCUAAAUACGUGCCAGCAGCCGCGGUAAUACGUAUGGUGCAAGCGUUAUCCGGAUUUACUGGGUGUAAAGGGAGCGCAGGCGGUUCUGCAAGUCUGAUGUGAAAGCCCGGGGCUCAACCGCGGGACUGCAUUGGAAACUGCGGGACUGGAGUGUCGGAGGGGUAAGCGGAAUUCCUGGUGUAGCGGUGAAAUGCGUAGAUAUCAGGAGGAACACCAGUGGCGAAGGCGGUCUGCUGGACAGCAACUGACGCUGAGGCGCGAAAGCGUGGGGAGCAAACAGGAUUAGAUACCCCGGUA
rnacentral:rRNA from 1 species